rnacentral:ncRNA from 1 species
UUUAUUUUGCGAAGACGGAGUUCGACCGCCUCUGGAAAAAAUAAUGCCGCUGCUGGACACCCUGCGCGGUGAAUACGGGGUCGGACCGGUAUGCCAUGAGCUGAAUAUCGCCCC